GAGCCGGCAUCAGGCACACAUUUACGUAGCCCAAAACGCCUUGCUUAGCCACACCCCCAAGGGAACUCAGCAGUGAUAAACAUUAAGCCAUGAGCGAAAGCUCGACUUAAUCAAGACCGAACUAGAGCCGGUAAAACUCGUGCCAGCCACCGCGGUUAUACGAGAGGCUCAAAUUGAUAAUCCACGGCGUAAAGCGUGAUUAAAGAAAAAGUAAAACUAAGGCCAAACACCCCCCAAGCUGUCAUACGCUAACGGACACACGAAGCCCGAAAACGAAAGUGGCCCUAAAACCCUUGAAUUCACGACCAUUAAGAAACAAACUGGGAUUAGAUACCCCACUAUGCUUAAUAGUAAACAAAGAUGGCAACAUACAAAUACCAUCCGCCAGGGGACUACGAGCAUUAGCUUAAAACCCAAAGGACUUGGCGGUGCCUCAAACCCACCUAGAGGAGCCUGUUCUAUAACCGAUAACCCCCGUUCAACCUCACCACUCCUUGCCAACACAGCCUAUAUACCGCCGUCGCCAGCUUACCUCAUGAGAGAUCAACAGUAAGCCAAAUGGGUUAAACCCAAAACGUCAGGUCGAGGUGUAGCUAAUGGAGUGGGAAGAAAUGGGCUACAUUUUCUGACACAGAAUAUAACGAAAAGUGCCAUGAAAAAGCACAACUGAAG
rnacentral:rRNA from 1 species